UUUUAGAUCAUAGUAACCCUAGACAAAAAUUUCCCUUUUGCUGCCUCUCUCUUGCUGUCCUAGCCUUUCCUUGGCCAAAUCGACUUAAAAGACGAAAGGAUUUACUUAUUGAUUGCACCAAACUUUAAGGAUUAAAUGAAUUAGUUUUAAACAUUGAGGCACUCCAAUAUUAAUUAAGGCAUAAUUAAGGGACUACAAAAUAUAGUUUCCUUGCCUUAACCCAAAGAAAAAGCUAUAAACGACGUCAUUUAUAAACCACUCAAAACUCAAGGCGCUUCUUCAGGUUCUUCCGCAAAGCUUUCCCAUAGAUUUCCGGAAACACAACCACCCACCAAAUCCAAAAUCACCCAAAACUCUGCCUUCCUGUCUCUGAUACAUCCUCUCUCAAUCAGAGUCCUUCUCAUAGUAAUAUCUUUUAGACUUUGUGGCAAUGGGUGGGCUGCCUUUGCAAAAUGCUUCCUCAACCUUAUCUCUGCCAGGAUCAGAGCAAAAUAAGGGUUCAGCAAUCUCAACAUCUGUGCCAGAAUCAAAGCAAAAAAAGAAGAUUUGCUGUGCCUGCCCUGAAACUAAGAAGCUGAGGGAUGAAUGUAUUGUGGAGCAUGGUGAAAAUGCUUGUGCAAAAUGGAUUGAGGCUCAUCAUCAGUGCCUUCGAGCUGACGGUUUUAAUGUUUGAGAUUGAUUCAAUGGUUAAGUUGAUAAUUUGAUACUUAUUUGGGGCGUAGGAUACUUGCUUUUGGAACCAUACAUACCACAGUAGUUAAGGAAUAGAGCAAGAAUAGGGCCGCUUUUCUUGAAUUGUGUUUCAACUUGUGCAAUUUAUUGAAAUUAUGAGGCAGUCUUAACAAUUCAAAGUAGACAAGAGUACAUGAUGCGCUCUAGUUUUUGUUUGUCUUAUCUUUUUAUGGGUGCUGAUCAUCUGAUGUUUUUCUUGAGAUGCCAUUGGUAUUCUGCUCAUUUCUAAUUGUUUAUGUUAGAUAUUGUUUUUGUUGGUUUAAAAGACUUGGACCUGAGAUCUAAUGGCGCAUCACUACUCACAAGGUUUGCAAUUGCAACUCUGGGAGGAUGCCUCUGUGACUGUUAUCAGAUUGAGUUGAACAUCUAAUGCAGGCAACAUAUCCCCGUACUUGUAACACCUUGACGUUGUCUUCUCAUCUGCUCCUUAUUUGGAACCAUUUAUGAUUGUGCCAUGGUGCCCAUACGGAUAUAGAAAACAGAUUCUCUAAAAUUUAAAUUUA